rnacentral:rRNA from 1 species
UACGUAGGGUGCAAGCGUUAUCCGGAUUCAUUGGGUUUAAAGGGAGCGUAGGCGGCCUUGUAAGUCAGUGGUGAAAUCUCUCGGCUUAACUGAGAAACUGCCAUUGAUACUGCAGGGCCUGAGUACAGUUGCCGUUGGCGGAAUAUGACAUGUAGUGGUGAAAUACAUAGAGAUGUCAUAGAACACCGAUUGCGAAGGCAGCUGACGAAACUGUAACUGACGCUGAGGCUCGAAAGUGUGGGGAUCAAACAGG